rnacentral:lncRNA from 1 species
GGAAAAGAAAGGCUGUCAUUUCCCCCAUCGCGGAAAUCCACCAGAAAUAUUUCUGAUGUUGUCAUAGGUAUAAUAAGCAGCAGCGUCAUCCAGGGAUGGGAAACAUGAUGGAGCAAACGGGGAAAAACACGCCCUCCUUCCUUUUUCUCCAGAGUGGUCGCUGUGCCUCUGGGAAAGUCAUGGUGCCCCUGGGCUCACGUGGGAACAGCUUUUUCCUUUGUGACUUACCUUUAGGGGACAGAACUACACCCUGGCAGGGGACACAGGGAGAUGGUGACCCCACAGGCUUUCUCGUGCCACUGCCAGUCUUCCCGGGUAGCGGGUCCCAGGCAGAUCUGAGCAGAACCUACUGGUCCCAGGUCGCCGAAUAGGAAGUGGGCGGAGAGGGCACAGCAGGGACCAGAGCCUGGGCUCCUGUGGCUCGGGCGUCAGGUGUGUCACCCAGGCAGGUGCGUCACCUUCGUCACCCCCUGCUGCAAACAUGCAGCCUUUUCCUCGGUUUGGUCCGCACGUCCAGGUUCUGCACAGCUCUCUGCAGAGCCUUAGUGCCUGGCUUUGGUGCAGGUGCUCCCACAGCCACGAUUUCACGUCAGGAGCCCGGCGACCCUAGCGUUGCCCAAGCCUCAUUGUCCCCUGCGGUGGACUGGGCUGCUCGGCUGCCUCACUUUCUCACCCUUGCUUUGAGUGGCGGGCCCAACCCAAUGCCUCCUGCCCCUGGUUCCAGCCCUUCCAUGGAGGUGACAGCUGCCUGGGGGCCAAGGGUCCACUGCGGCAUCUCCGUCACAGCACCGCUUUCUGAUGCAGCCUCUGCUGGGGCCGUCCAUACUGGGGCAGGUUCACCUGGGGCCUUCUGUAGUGGGGUGGGCUCACCUGGCCGAAGGUCACCCCGUCUACGUGCUGGCCAUAGGUGCUGGCCAUCGUUGGGGCUGUGGUGCCCCCGGGUGAACUGGUUGCUGCCAGGGGAGGCCUCUCGUAAAAGGAAGGAGAGGUCCGCGGACUGGGGUUGCGUCCACUUUCUGCUGUGAAUUCAGGGGUACAGAUACCCAAUCAAGGCCCUGCUGUUGAUUUUUUUUUUUUCUCCUUUACUCAAGAAAGCAGUACAUUCAGCUUUUUUUCCAGGUUUUUGUUUCAGAUUGUCUCUGCCUGCUGUCGAUGUUUGAGGGUAUCUACCAUGCAACGGAACUGCUGGGUCCUGUCGUAGUUCCGUGUUUAAAUUUUUGAGGAGCCUCCAAACUGGUUUCCACUGCGGCUGCGCCUUCCCAUCCCGCCAGGCCAGCGCCGCAGAGGUCUAGCUCCCCCGGCACUUGCCGUUUUCUGGUGUUGCGAUCCGAGCCAUCCCGAUGGGUGUGAAGUGGCAUCUUGAUGUGGUUUUGAUUUGCAUUCAGAGAGACAGAAGGUGGAAUAGUGGUGACCCCAGGCCAGGGGGAGGUUCGUGGAGGGUUAAUGGGGACAGAGUGUCCAUUGGGGAGGUGACAAACUUGUAGAGACACAGGGUGGUGAUGGUUGCAUAACAGUGCGCGUGUAUCGAAUGCUAUGGAAAAAUGGUGAAAAUGAGAAACUUUGUGCUCCGUGUGUUUUCCCACAAGAAUAGAAAAGUGAGAUGCGACACGGGAGAAACCCAGAUGGAAGGACACUCUGUUAAGCACCUGGGCAGUGCUCCUUCCCAUUGUCAAGAUCGUCAGAGACAAGGGAGCUGCAAGAAACUGAGGACCCGAGGCGGCCGGGGUGGCGGGAUGACCGAUGUGGCGUGGGUUCUGGCUGGGCUCCUGGGGUAGGAGAAAGGACCGCACGGGAACAGGCUGAAGUCCAGACAAGGGUCUCACAGGCACCCUGCGCUGGCUUCUUGAUUGUGACAAAUGUCCCACGGGUUUGAGGCUGUUCACAGAGCGCAGUGGCUAAGACUUCACCCGCAUUCACGGGAAUCCCCUGGACUAUCUGUGCAACUUUUCUGUAAACCUGAAUUGAUUUUAAAAUGAGGAGGCUGUUCAGAAGGGAGAGGUGUCUGGUCUGAGUGGGCGCAGCCCAGAGGUACCAUGUCACCUGCGGCUGGAGGGAUGGCAGGACCUGAGAGGCGAGGCAUUGAGGGAAGAGUGUGUGGGCAGAAGGAACCUCACCCAAGGUGGCUCAGAAGGCAGUGCGGUGUUGGCACAGCUAAGAUCCUCAAAGAACUGCUUCCCCACUGCCUUCGCUGCGGCUCCACCAGAGAGAACAGCCUCAGUCGCUGGAGCUUGUUUUUUUCCAAGUGUCGACACCUUGUGAGUUGCUUCCCUGUGUUCUUAACAUUAAUACCUGUUUUUGUGUAUGUGUGAGUGAAAAGCCUUUUUUUUUUUUUUAAAUUCAGCUUUUAUAGCAAAAAGCAAGCAAACAAAAUACUCGUUUAUAGGCGAUAAAGCAAAACAAAGCAAAUAGGAAUUACAUGGAAUUUACAACCCAGAGAGAGCAUGGUUAUUAUUUUGAGGUAUAUUCAUUCUUCCAGACUUUUUUCAUCUUUAACCUUUGUCUCCCUGGAAGACCACAGUCAUCCUUCUGAAUAAUCCUCAUUGUGCUGAAACCCAGGGAAUUCUCAGGGGCUCUGGGUUGUGUGGGCUCUGCUUUGCAUGCCGAGGUGAGCAGCCCCCCAGGAAGUUCCUUCCGAGGUGGGACUUGAUGGGGGGCAGGCACAGCCUCCUGUAGAGGAGUGGUGAGCAGGACCAAGGCACCCGGCCCGGCCUGCUGAGGGAAGCCGUGCCUGGUGAUCACUCUGUCUCUGUGAAUUUGACUCCUUAGGUAGCUCUGAUGACCCCUCAUGUAUGCCCUGUCUCUAUGAACUUGACUCCCUGAAAGUAGCUCCUAGUAAUGCAAUCGAGUGUUUGUAUUUUUGUGGCUGGCAUGUUUCACUUUGCGUAAUGUCCUCACGGUUCAUCUGUGCUGUAGCGGGUGUCAGAAUUUUCUUCCUUUUCAAGGCUGAGUAAUAUUCCAUUGCGUGUAUGGACCACGUUUUCUUUACCCAGUCGUCUGUUGGUAGAUACUUGGGUUGCUUCUACCAGUUGGCUCUUGUGAAUAAUGCUGCUGUGCAUAUAGAUGUUCAAGUAUCUCUUAGAGAUCCUGCUUUCAUUUCUUUGGGGUGUAGACCCACAAGUGGGACUGGAGUCGAUCCCAUGACAGUUCUCUUCAUUUUUGGAGGAACCUCGAUUCUCCAUACCACCGACAGUGGUAGAGGCCAGGGCCGCUGCUCAACUGCGGGCAGGGCACAGGACAGCCUCCACUGCAAAGAACCACCUUGCCCCACACAGCAGGGUGCUGCGGCAGAGGAACCUGACUGUGAGUGCGUGAGGGGCGGGGGGUGGGGGGGUGGCAUGGAAUGAGGUGUGAAGGUGGAGACAGGCAGCCAGGCUGCUGCCAAAUUGGUGAGAAUAAAAGGAAUAACCGUGGCAGUGCUGAAUCUUUACCGAGCUCUUCUCAGAGCGCCAGGCCCCCGGCAAGCCCCGUUCCUGCCUUUUCUCAUUUAAACCCAUGACACCGCAAGGGUGGUCCCGAGCAGGGUGAAAGUGGCACACAGUAGGUUCUCAGCAGCCUGAGCUGCUCCCCCUGCAGACACAUGUCCUGCGCACUGUGACUCUCGUCCCCAUCAGCGUUGCUCCUUGAGGUACUUUGUCCUUUUGAAACCUGGGCGCAAACACGGGCGGCCAGGCCAGCAGAUAAGACAGCCGUGUAAACACACAGCCCUUCCUGGUGGAGCCCGCCUGCCGGUGUUUUGAGUGAUGGGGUGGGGUUGCCUGGCAACCAGGCCUGGGCGUCCCCCUACUGCCCUCCCGCACAGGACUUCCUUCUUCUGUGUGCGGCUUCCAGCUCCUUGGUGCCCACAGGCAGGCCGUGCGGGCGGAGGAGAGGGUGUUAUCGAAUGCCAGGCCUGGCUGAAUGGGCCAGGUGAUGUGACAUCAGGCCCUGGCAUGGACCGGUUGGUUUGGUGCAAGAAUAAUGGUGACAGUUUGUUACUACCACAGCAGUAACGGUUGUUUAUUGAGCGCCUACUGUGUGUAU